rnacentral:pre_miRNA from 1 species
AGCAUUUUGAAUCCGUACAAAGAUUUCGUCAGACACCAACCCAAUAGAGCUGAUCAGACUUCCAAGAUAAGUGAAUUU